AUGAUAGUCAUGUAUGUCAUUAUCCCCCAUCAUUCUAGGGAACCUAGUCCACUAGAUAACCAUACGGUUGACCCCCUGACUUCUCGUCCACUUCAAACAUAUCAGUGUCGUCAACCAACGUCCGUCGUACAUGUCCUUGAGGUCAUUGCAGACUCUCCUCUGACGCUCUCGCCAUCACCUGAUCCAUCCUGCAAUUUAAGUCCAAUCUUCUGA